CCUACGGGUGGCUGCAGUGGGGAAUCUUGCGCAAUGCUCGUAAGAGUGACGCAGCGACGCCGCGUGAAUGACGAAGGCCUUCGGGUCGUAAAGUUCUUUCGACAGGGAAGCAAUGCCUAUAAGUCACUGUGUAUGUAUUGACUGUACCUGUAUAAGCAGCCCCGGCUAACUACGUGCCAGCAGCCGCGGUCAUACGGAGGGGUCGAGCGUUGUUCGGAGUGACUGGGCGUAAAGAGCACGUAGGCGGUGUUGUAAGUCAUUAGUCAAAGAGUAGAGCUCAACUUUAGUAAGGAUAGUGAUACUAUAAUACUAGAGUAUGAGAGAGGAUGGCAGAAUUCCUGGUGUAGCGGUGAAAUGCGUAGAUAUCAGGAGGAAUACCGUUAGCGAAGGCGGCAAACUGGCUGGAAACUGACGCUGAGGUGCGAAAGCGUGGGUAGCAAACAGGAUUAGAUACCCUAGUAGUC
rnacentral:rRNA from 1 species